GAGGCGCCCGAAGGGGCGAAGCCCUGCGCUGCGGAUGUUCAAAAGUGAAAAACGAAAUGAAAAGUUCAGUUUGAUCUUUUGAAACCUCUCUUUCUCUCUCUCUCUUUGAUGCGUGCCACAUGCAGAAUGGUGGAGCAACUAAGCAGUAUUUUAAUAAUACGGUUUAAAAAAGGAGGGCUGAAACAGCGCGUGGAAAAGAGCGUCGCGCAAACAGUUUGAAAAGCCUCGAAGAACCGAAGGGAAGGGGGAUUCCGCAGCCUGCAAAAGAGAACAAGGUCGGUGUCGGAUCGGCCUCCCCGUGGGGUCGUUUUAGCGGCACCAAAGGGUGCUCCGGAGGUCGAUGACGAUGAUGAUGAUGAUGAUGAUGAUGGCGCAACAUUUAUGGGAAGUAGUGAGCUGAACAGUCGUCAGUGACCGGAGGGUGACACCCGCGUGACUGUUUCAGUGCUGCUCCGGGGCAAAUCCCACACACACACCACUCUUCCCAUUCCACCGGAGAAAGGCAGCAAAUUCAAGCGAGAGUUGCCAGGAGCAGGACCCGCUUAAUCGGGCCAAGAAGGAGUGGAAUUUACGUUCGGCAGCGGACCGACAGACAGAGGAUUGCUUCUGUGUGUUUUCGGGGCAAAAGGAAGGAACCAUUUUUCCUUCCUGAAAGGUGUAGUCCCGGCCCAUCUUGCUCAAAGAGCGAGGUACCUUUGCUUACCUGUCAUUUCUUCAUCAGCUCUGCACAAAUCAGGGCGCAGGGCAAAUCAAUUAUUUCUUUCAUAACUGUAGUUACUGUUCAACAGACCCGAGAUUCCAGAACUGGAACAAUUAACUGUUCAGCUGCAAGGACAACUCCCACGUUGUCUUUCCCAGCCAAGGAAAACUUUUUCUACAAAGCUUCGCAUCGAGGGAGAGAGCAAAGAAGCCUCCGAUGCAGGCUGCCGGAGAGAUGCGUGGCCAAAAACGACAGAAAGCCUAUUCUGGCCCAACUGACCUCUCCUUCUCCACCUUUGCUUUGAUCCACAACAUAAACAGUCUUCUGCGGUCGGUUUUCUUUUGCUUCCCCCAGCCUGCACAUGCCAGUUGCCCGGGCACAGACCUCACUGAGGACUGGUGAGAUAUCCCCAACUGUAUUUCUUUCCAAAACACCUGAGGAUUGGAGCCCCUUUUUUUCCCCAGAAUUCAGAUCGAAGGAAAGCGCGUGAAGUGAAUGGCAGUCAUACGAUGGAGGCAGUGUUUCUCAACCUUGGCCACUUUAAGACGUGUGGACUUCAACUCCCAGAAUUCCCCAGCCAUGCUUGGGGAGAACAGAGAAAAUGGGCACAGGAGCAACUUUUCCAACUGACUUUCUGGCCAGGGGGAGUUUGCCACAGGUCACAGCUAGCAUCUUGUCAAGAGCCAAGCUCUCCACAGAGGCCCAAGCCCUCCAAAAGAUGCCCGUCUAUGGUCUGGAAGGCAGCCAUCCUCCAGGGAAGAUCUAAGCAGCUGAAGUUCAACCAGCCCUGGGGAUUGCCACAAUCGUAGAUUGGUCUACUUGGGAAGCUCCAGCUAGUCUACCACAGCGUUCCCCAGAAGAUGCCCUCUAAACUGCUGAUGCUGUGGAGUGCCCUGGCUCUGCUGGUAUAUGACCCCCCCCAGGAAGGAGUGAACCCCCAUUCCCACGUUUUGCCUGCAGAAGGGCUGGGUUGAAGCCCUGAAGAUCAAAGCCCGUCCUUCCCCUCAACACACACAACC